UACGAAGGGGGCUAGCGUUGUUCGGAAUCACUGGGCGUAAAGCGCACGUAGGCGGAUCUUUAAGUCAGGGGUGAAAUCCCGAGGCUCAACCUCGGAACUGCCUUUGAUACUGGGGAUCUCGAGUCCGGGAGAGGUGAGUGGAACUGCGAGUGUAGAGGUGAAAUUCGUAGAUAUUGGGAAGAACACCGGUGGCGAAGGCGGCUAUCUGGACCGACAUUGACGCUGAGGCGCGAAAGCGUGGGGAGCAAACAGG
rnacentral:rRNA from 1 species